AAAACCAAAACACCAACAGUCCUUUCACGUCUGGCUCCUAAGUGAAAUGACACGUCAAGGGCAAGGUAGGCUAAAUAAAGAAGGUGGGCUUUAAGUAUGUACUUCAGUUCUGCCGUGUUCCCCCAGAAGCAGGGUAAAAGCAAGACAGUUAAAUCUGGGGACACUCACCUGUCUGCCUGCUGGAGUAGAUGGACCAUCUCUAGGAUUUCUUCUUUAUUAAAUGAGCACACAGUAUGCCUGGUACCACAUGAAUUCUGUUUGUUCUCUUUCUUUAGCUAUCCUAUCUAGCAGUUUGAGAAAGACUAGUGAUGGCAAGCUAAAAAGGAAAAUGAUUACCAGUCAACUUGUCACAAAAUUAAGUUACACUGACACAGUUUGUAGUCUUAGUUUGUGUAUUGUAAAGUGUAAAUAAUGUUAAAACAGACAGACAUGUUUUAGAAAGACUUAUUUCAUGUGUAUGAGUGCCUGUCUGCCUGUCUGUGUGUCUGUCUGUGCACCAUGCACAUGCCUGGUGCCCGAGGAAGCCAGAGAGAAUGUUGGAUCCCUGGAACUGGAAUUAACAGAUAGUUGUGAGCUACCAUGUGAAUACUGGGAACUGAACCUGGUCUCCUACAAGAACAUCCAGUGCUAUUAACAACUGAGCCAUCUCUCUAACCCUAUAAAACUUUUAAUAAAAGAGGUUAUGAUUGGUUUGAAGUAGCAACUGAAAUGUGGAAGGAAGUAUUCCGAAAGGCAGAAGUGGUACAAAGCCGUGUCUGCUCACUCCACUCAUGGUACUGAGGAUGGAACCCAGGGCCUCCCACACCCUGGCAAGAGCCCUUCACACUGAGCUCCGUCUUGAGUUGUAUCUUUUCAAUAGCAUAAACCAUUGAGACAAAAUACAAGAAAGUUUUCCAUAUAGGUUUACUGGAAUUUUUGAAUUAUUUGUGAUUUUAGCCUACUAUCAGAAGUCUCUUUAGUUUUAUUUUACAAGUCUCAUGUAAGAGCUAUUCUUAAACUAUUAAAGAUACAACCUACUCGUUC
rnacentral:lncRNA from 1 species